rnacentral:misc_RNA from 1 species
CCAAACUUGGUCAUUUAGAGGAAGUAAAAGUCGUAACAAGGUUUCCGUAGGUGAACCUGCGGAAGGAUCAUUAAAGGGAUAAAUCGGGGGUUCGUCCCCCGUCCUCCCACCCAUGAAUACUCGAGGACCCUGUCCAAGUUACUUCGGCGGAUAUUUCCGCCGAGCAACCAUUCAAAACUCUAAUUCAACGUGUCGUCUGAAUUUUGAGAAAAUCGAAUCAAAACUUUCAACAACGGAUCUCUUGGUUCUGGCAUCGAUGAAGAACGCAGC